UAGUUACAUAGUCCAUUUACCUGCUCUGUGUUUUACACUUGAACACUGGCACUGGACUGAGAACUCUCCACAUCUGCUACCUGUAGACACAGGUUAUAAACAACACAAUGGAGUGGAGGCUGGUACUGGCUAUGUCUUGCCUGAUUGCUGCAAGUGCUAUGGCAGACACUUCAAGUAAUCAGACUGCACUGAAUACUUCUUCAACAAACACGUCUUCAACCCUGAGCACGUCUACAAACACGUCUUCAACAAACACCACUUCAACAAAUAACACUUCAGCAAACACAACUUCAACAAACGUCACUUCAACAAACACUUCUGUACCGGCUGCAUCAUUCAACUUGGCCUUUAGCAUCAAUGAAACCUUUUAUCCAGCACUGGCCAAUAUCAGCUCUCCAAAUUUUACAGCAAAAGCUCAAAGUAUCCGU